UACGUAGGGGGCAAGCGUUGUCCGGAAUUAUUGGGCGUAAAGAGCGUGUAGGCGGCCAUGUAGGUCCGGUGUGAAAACUCGAGGCUUAACCUCGAGAUGUCAUCGGAAACCAUUUGGCUAGAGUCCGGAAGAGGAGAGUGGAAUUCCUGGUGUAGCGGUGAAAUGCGCAGAUAUCAGGAGGAACACCGAUGGCGAAGGCAGGUCUCUGGGCAUUAACUGACGCUGAGGAGCGAAAGCAUGGGGAGCGAACAGG
rnacentral:rRNA from 1 species